GUUAAUUGGCCCUAAAUUAAAUUUUCUCCCUUCAGCAAGCACUCAUUAAGCAGUUAGGCUGAGUGUGUUAAGAUGCAGAGUUAAGUUUGUGAGGUAUUGAAAGGUGAUGCUGAAACUGGGAUUUCAUUCCAGCGUCAGAUGUGGGUUUCAAGUUCCUUUGGUCCAGGGAAGGGACUGGGCAGCCACAGGUGCCCCCAAGUUGCUUUUGGUUAUUCUCCCAACAAGGUCAGAUGUGCCAU
rnacentral:lncRNA from 1 species